GACCGCGUAGCUCAGUUGGAAGAGCAUUGGGCUAGUAUUCCAAAGGUCGUAGGUUCGAAUCCCGCCUUGGCCA